rnacentral:rRNA from 1 species
ACGCACGCUGGCGGCAUGCCUAACGCAUGCCAGUCGAACGAGACCUUCGGGUCUAGUGGCGCACGGGUGCGUAACGCGUGGGAACCUGCCCUUAGGUUCGGAAUAACUCCCCGAAAGGGGUGCUAAUACCGGAUAAUGUCUUCGGACCAAAGAUUUAUCGCCUUUGGAUGGGCCCGCGUUGGAUUAGCUAGUUGGUAGGGUAAAAGCCUACCAAGGCGACGAUCCAUAGCUGGUCUGAGAGGAUGAUCAGCCACACUGGGACUGAGACACGGCCCAGACUCCUACGGGAGGCAGCAGUGGGGAAUAUUGGACAAUGGGCGAAAGCCUGAUCCAGCAAUGCCGCGUGAGUGAUGAAGGCCUUAGGGUUGUAAAGCUCUUUUACCCGGGAUGAUAAUGACAGUACCGGGAGAAUAAGCUCCGGCUAACUCCGUG